GAUGAACGCUGGCGGCGUGCCUAAUACAUGCAAGUCGAGCGAACAGACGAGGAGCUUGCUCCUCUGACGUUAGCGGAAGACGGGUGAGUAACACGUGGAUAACCUACCUAUAAGACUGGGAUAACUUCGGGAAACCGGAGCUAAUACCGGAUAAUAUAUUGAACCGCAUGGUUCAAUAGUGAAAGACGGCUUUGCUGUCACUUAUAGAUGGAUCCGCGCCGCAUUAGCUAGUUGGUAAGGUAAAGGCUUACCAAGGGGACGAUGCGUAGCCGACCUGUGAGGGUGAUCGCCCACACUGGAACGUAGACACCGUCCAUACUCCUACGGGAGGCAGCAGUAUCGAAUCUGCCGCAGUGGGCGAAAGCCUUACGGAGCAACGCCACGUCAGUUACGAAGGUCCUCGGAGCGUAAUACUCUGUUACUAGUUAAGAACAAAUUUGGAAUGAACCAUGGCCGGCGUGACGGUACCGAAUCAGAAAGCCACGGCUAACUACGUG
rnacentral:rRNA from 1 species